UGAUAAGUAACCAAACCAAUCAGGAACUGUCAGGGUCAGGUGAGAUACGCCUCACAAGUUCCGCCCUUGGGUAGAGUCAGGGCUGUGGCAGAACAGAAAAACUGAGUAUGGACAGAGAUUAAAAGAGCUACAUGUUCUGGGAGUUUACCUGGGUAGUGUGAGCAGAAAAGGCCAAAGACACUUUAAUAUUGAAAUUGGAUAUAUGACAUAGCGACUACGGAUACAGUCGCGAGGGAAAGGAAGAAAAAGAAUUGGCACCAAUUGAGAAUUGGUCGUGGUAGUGAGUGAAAGUACUGUGAGCUAAAGAUAAUAGCUAAUGGCGUCAGCCAUUAGCUCGUGUCCGGGUCAGCAGUGAUUUGGGUAAUUCUACCUCGUUAGUGAGCGAGAAGCAGAAGGAGCGCAGCCCCUCGAGACCUACGCAGAUAGAAAUACAGUGAAGCAAAGUAGGAUGGUCUACGUCAACUCGUGAGGUUUUGCCAGGUGACUAUUAAGAGUCAGUAUCAUCACAGCAGGAGGUGAAAGGAGAAGAGCUGGAGGCAGGAAGAGAGAGGUGCAGGGAGGGAGAGGGUGCAAAAGUGCAGCGCAGAAUCACGCCUGACAGUAGAAGAGAGCAGUGUGGAGAUGUGUGACACCGCAAAAAGGAGACGAAGGGGAAAAGAUUUGUCUGUGUGUGUCUGUAUGUGUGACAGGGUGUGAGUCUGUUCUACUAACACUGCAUGCAUGUGUGUGAGUCACUGUGUUUAUUUGUGUGUGAGUAUGAGAGUGCCCACUGAGUGCGGUGCCAGGCAGCAGCAGCUGGGAAGGCCUUCCUGUGUUCUCCUGUCAUCAAUAAAUGAUCAGAGCGGGCCAUCUGGAGAGAGGGGACCACCAACCACCGGGACCUGGCACUGAGCAAAAACCAGAAGAAAAAGAAAGAGAAUGUGAGGAUAGAUGAGGGGAGAAGUUAGAGAAAGAAGGGGAUGGAACAGAAAGGCAGAGAAGGGGGAGAAAACAGAGAGUUCAUAAAUACAGCACAGAGACUUAGUGUUUUUCUUAAACAGGUAUGGCCGCAAAAGUAGUUCACAAACCAAGAUUAGCAUUAGGUCAUUUUUGGAUGUUUGGUGAUUCUUCUUAGCCAAUCUUUUCAUUUUAAAGCGGAAUGCGUCUGUGUUUAUGUAUGUAUAUGUAUAUAUAAAUAUGAAGUAACAAAUUAACACACCCUUCAAAGGCAAUAAAGGGAAAGCAUUUAGGGCAGUUUACAGGAAAAACAGUUUAAGGAGACAGGCAAGAGGUGGGGCCUUAAAGCAACAAACAGAGAAGCACAGGAAAUGCAGAAAAGAAGAUGCUGUAAGGGAAGCCUCCUGAUUUUGAACCUAAGGGAUGUGCGCGCACAAAC